UACGUAGGGGGCAAGCGUUGUCCGGAUUUACUGGGUGUAAAGGGUGCUCAGGUGGAUUUGUAAGUCAGAGGUGAAACUCCGGAGCUUAACUCCGGAACUGCCUUUGAUACUGCAAGUCUCGAGUUUGAGAGAGGGCAAUGGAAUAUCUGGUGUAGCAGUGAAAUGCGUAGAUAUCAGAUAGAACACCAAUGGCGAAGGCAGUUGCCUGGCUCAAUACUGACACUAAAGCACGAAAGUGUGGGGAGCAAACAGGAUUAGAUACCCUGGUAGUCCACACCCUAAACGAUGAGUACUAGACGUUGGUCCUUUUAAGGAUCAGUGUCUGAGCUAACGCAUUAAGUACUCCACCUGGGAAGUACGAUCGCAAGGUUG
rnacentral:rRNA from 1 species